CCUGAGAAACCCAAAAGAUCGAAUGGGGAGAUUCAUCGUCAGCGAUCCUGGUACGUGUGCGGUUCGUGAUGCUGGAGAYUUCGGUCUCGUGGCACGCGUCCGCAUGGUUUUAUUGCCGGGUGUCGUCGGCGUGCACUUCUCCCCUAGUAGGACGUCGCGACCCGUUGGGUGUCGGUCUACGGCCCGGGUGGGCGCCUGUCAUGUGUCACGCUUUACGGCGUCAUGUGGCAGACCCCCGGUUGUCUGGCCGGCUGCUCGGCGGUACUCGCAAGGUAUCGGGCCGCAAAUAUUCGAACUGCGUCCUGUCCACCGCAAGCGAGGUCAGUGUUUCCCGGAUGUACGGACCUGGUGCCGUCACCGGGCCUGGCCAGCUGUUGGUCGGUGGUGCCCUGGGACUGGCUCUGCAUUAUGAUACCGGUCAGCGACGCUUCUGCUUUGGGUACUUUCAGGA
rnacentral:rRNA from 1 species